GCACCCUUAGCUCAGCUGGAUAGAGCGUCUGACUACGAAUCAGAAGGUCGGGAGUUCGAAUCUCUCAGGGUGCG
rnacentral:tRNA from 1 species